rnacentral:tRNA from 2 species
GGAGGGGUUCCCGAGUGGCUAAAGGGGGCAGACUGUAAAUCUGCUAGCUCAGCUUACGGUGGUUCGAAUCCACCCCCCUCCACCA